CUGCUGCCAUUACCGGUUCACUGUACCAUGCACUGCCGGCACUACCGAUUUGUGCGAGCCGGACAGAAUCGGCAGGAUUUCACCACUGAUACAUAUCCCAUCUCGACUAUUCUAUUAGCUAACCAAAAUGUUAUUCUCUGAUACAGAAGGUAAAUAUGCAUGGACCUGAAUCCUGACCAAAUAUAUAAGUGGAAGGAAUCAAAACUCAGGAAAUAUCUGCCUACAAAUAAAUCACUUUAACCUUGACCUCUAGUGACAAUUGCAAGCAAAAAUUCCAGUGACAACAUACGGGAACAUGCAAUAAGCAAAAGUGCAAAAAUAAAGAACAAUGCUUAUGAA